rnacentral:rRNA from 1 species
GAUGAACGCUGGCGGCGUGCCUAAUACAUGCAAGUCGAGCGAACAGACGAGGAGCUUGUUCCUCUGACGUUAGCGGCGGACGGGUGAGUAACACGUGGAUAACAUACUUAUAAGACUGGGAUAAUUUCGGGAAACCGGAGCUAAUACUGGAUAAUAUAUUGCACCGCAUGGUUCAAUAGUGAAAGACGGUUUUGCUGUCACUUCUAGAUGGAUCCGCGCCGCAUUAGCUAGUUGGUAAGGUCACGGCGUACCAAGGCAGCGAUGCGUAGCCGACCUGAGAGGGUGGUCGGCCACACUGGAACUGGGACACGGUCCAGGCUCCUACGGGAGGCAGCAGGAGGGAAACUUCCGCAAUGGGCGGAAGCCUUGCGGAACAACGCCGCGUGAGUGAUAAAAGUCUUCGGAGCGGAAAACUCUGUUAUUAGGGAAAAACAAAUGUGUAAUUAACUAUGCACGGCUUGACGGUAACUAAUCAGAAAGCCACGGCUAACUACGUG